rnacentral:rRNA from 1 species
UACAGAGGUGGCAAGCGUUGUCCGGAAUUAUUGGGCGUAAAGAGCUCGUAGGCGGCUUGUUGCGUCGACUGUGAAAACCCGCGGCUUAACCGCGGGCUUGCAGUUGAUACGGGCAGGCUAGAGUUCGGUAGGGGAGACUGGAAUUCCUGGUGUAGUGGUGAAAAUGCGCAGAUAUCAGGAGGAACACCUGCGGCGAAGGCGGGUUGCUGGGCUGAUACUGACGCUGAGGCGCGAAAGCCAGGGGAGCGAACGGG